rnacentral:rRNA from 1 species
UACAGAGGGUGCAAGCGUUGUUCGGAAUUAUUGGGCGUAAAGGGCGCGUAGGCGGUGCCACAAGUCACCUGUGAAAUCUCCGGGCUUAACUCGGAGCCUGCAGGCGAAACUGUGGUGCUGGAGUGUGGGAGAGGUGCGUGGAAUUCCCGGUGUAGCGGUGAAAUGCGCAGAUAUCAGGAGGAACACCAAUUGCGAAGGCAGCUCGCUGGGACGUUACUGACGCUGAGACGCGAAAGCGUGGGGAGCAAACAGG